rnacentral:rRNA from 1 species
GGGGGCCGGCAGGUCGACGAUUCCUACGGGAGGCAGCAGUGAGGAAUAUUGGACAAUGGGCGAAAGCCUGAUCCAGCCAUGCCGCGUGCAGGAAGACUGCCCUAUGGGUUGUAAACUGCUUUUGUACGGGAAGAAACACCCCCACGUGUGGGGGCUUGACGGUACCGUAAGAAUAAGCAUCGGCUAACUCCGUGCCAGCAGCCGCGGUAAUACGGAGGAUGCAAGCGUUAUCCGGAAUCAUUGGGUUUAAAGGGUCCGUAGGCGGGCAAUUAUGUCAGAGGUGAAAGUCUGCGGCUCAACCGUAGAACUGCCUUUGAAACUGGUUGUCUUGAAUCGUUGUGAAGUGGUUAGAAUGAGCAGUGUAGCGGUGAAAUGCUUAGAGAUUGCUCAGAAUACCGAUUGCGAAGGCAGAUCACUAACAACGUAUUGACGCUGAGGGACGAAAGCGUGGGGAGCGAACAGGAUUAGAUACCCUGGUAGUCCACGCCGUAAACGAUGGAUACUAGCUGUCCGGUCUUCGGACUGGGUGGCCAAGCGAAAGUGAUAAGUAUCCCACCUGGGGAGUACGUUCGCAAGAAUGAAACUCAAAGGAAUUGACGG